rnacentral:rRNA from 1 species
ACCAUCCUCCAAGGCUAAAUACUCCUGACUGACCGAUAGUGAACCAGUACCGUGAGGGAAAGGCGAAAAGAACCCCGGCGAGGGGAGUGAAAAAGAACCUGAAACCGUGUACGUACAAGCAGUGGGAGCACGCUUAGGCGUGUGACUGCGUACCUUUUGUAUAAUGGGUCAGCGACUUAUAUUCUGUAGCAAGGUUAACCGAAUAGGGGAGCCGAAGGGAAACCGAGUCUUAACUGGGCGUUAAGUUGCAGGGUAUAGACCCGAAACCCGGUGAUCUAGCCAUGGGCAGGUUGAAGGUUGGGUAACACUAACUGGAGGACCGAACCGACUAAUGUUGAAAAAUUAGCGGAUGACUUGUGGCUGGGGGUGAAAGGCCAAUCAAACCGGGAGAUAGCUGGUUCUCCCCGAAAGCUAUUUAGGUAGCGCCUCGUGAAUUCAUCUCCGGGGGUAGAGCACUGUUUCGGCAAGGGGGUCAUCCCGACUUACCAACCCGAUGCAAACUGCGAAUACCGGAGAAUGUUAUCACGGGAGACACACGGCGGGUGCUAACGUCCGUCGUGAAGAGGGAAACAACCCAGACCGCCAGCUAAGGUCCCAAAGUCAUGGUUAAGUGGGAAACGAUGUGGGAAGGCCCAGACAGCCAGGAUGUUGGCUUAGAAGCAGCCAUCAUUUAAAGAAAGCGUAAUAGCUCACUGGUCGAGUCGGCCUGCGCGGAAGAUGUAACGGGGCUAAACCAUGCAC